UACGUAGGGGGCAAGCGUUGUCCGGAUUUAUUGGGCGUAAAGAGCGUGUAGGCGGCCUGACAGGUCUGCUGUGAAAACUCGAGGCUCAACCUCGAGAUGUCGGCGGAAACCGUCUGGCUAGAGUCCGGAAGAGGAGAGUGGAGUUCCUGGUGUAGCGGUGAAAUGCGCAGAUAUCAGGAAGAACACCUAUGGCGAAGGCAGCUCUCUGGGACGGUACUGACGCUGAGACGCGAAAGCGUGGGGAGCGAACAGG
rnacentral:rRNA from 1 species